AUUGAACGCUGGCGGCAGGCCUAACACAUGCAAGUCGAGCGGGGUUUUCGGACCUAGCGGCGGACGGGUGAGUAAUGCGUAGGAAGCUACCCGAUAGAGGGGGAUACCAGUUGGAAACGACUGUUAAUACCGCAUAAUGUCUACGGACCAAAGUGUGGGACCUUCGGGCCACAUGCUAUCGGAUGCGCCUACGUGGGAUUAGCUAGUUGGUGGGGUAAUGGCUCACCAAGGCGACGAUCCCUAGCUGGUUUGAGAGGAUGAUCAGCCACACUAGAACUGAGACACGGUCCAGACUCCUACGGGAGGCAGCAGUGGGGAAUAUUGGGCAAUGGGCGCAAGCCUGAUCCAGCCAUGCCGCGUGUGUGAAGAAGGCCUUCGGGUUGUAAAGCACUUUCAGUAGGGAGGAAGGGUGUUGUGUUAAUAGCACAGCAUUUUGACGUUACCUACAGAAGAAGCACCGGCUAACUCUGUGCCAGCAGCCGCCGUAA
rnacentral:rRNA from 1 species